ensembl:lncRNA
UAAAUUCGCGAGCAGGCAUCCGGGCUGCCUGCGCUCCGAGCGCCGUGAGGUAACCACGGAAAUAUGUGGCCAUAUUCUACAAUAUUCCCUGAUGUUUUUGAUGAAAGAGCAAACAACCAAAUCAACAGGAAGUCUCUGCCUGUGUCACAAAUCAUGGAAGCAGUUGAUAUGUUGCAUUUUAAGUACUUUAUUGGCUGAGAUCUAUUUCUCACUGUAAACAUGAUAAAGAACAGUGAGCCAAUCUCUUCUUCCUUAGCAGAAACAAAGUUCUAUCCUUUUAUCAUGCUCUCCAGUCUCAAAUGUUUGAUCCUCUCCCACUCCAGCACCCACUAACUGCUGCUGCCUCCCAUUUAUUGUCCAGCUGUUUAAACAUAAAGCUGAAAACACAGGAACAUUAAGAUUUACCUGCAAGCUUUUUAUCCUGUGCGGAUACUUAAUCGGGUAACAAAAUCUCUAUUAGCACACACAGAGUUAGUUUACAGUAGGAGAACUAAUUAAGAUGAUAAGAGAGGAAAUCCUACUUUUAACCAAAAAAAUUAAAUUAGUGUAAAAUUGUUAUUUUCAGGUCUUUGAGUCAUCCUGUUGAAGCCAACAUUUCUUUUGUUUUUUAAAGCAUUUCAGCUUGCAAAAUGAAAAUUAAGAGUAUAGAAGAGUUUAUGUAACACGUGCUUUUAUUAGAUUUAAAGCAGUAAAUAGGGUCCAAAAAUAAACAUUGUAUUUUAAGAAUAAUCUAGGUGUUACAGGAUUAAAACUGAUAAGCCUGUGUACUGUAAAAGCUUUGAAGAUCUGUAAUACAUGCCCCUUCACAGUUUGUACCAACUCACUUUUGCAGUAAGCAAAGGACCUUCUUUUAAAAGGCUUCAUUUUCACGUGCAAAAAAAAUGCAUAAACAUUGGUUCAGAAACGUUGGUUCUUUGCUGAAUAUACAUGGCAGAUAUUUGUUGUGGGACUUAAAUGUUGAAAUACACUUUACAAACAAAAAGUGUGUGUCGUAUUUGAAUGCAUCUUAAGUGAGAUGUUUAAAAUACAGCUGUGUGUGAGCACAGAGCCCACCUCCAGCUUUGUACUGAGGUAUGUAUUAGCUUUCAGUAAUCCUUCUUCUCACAAGCUCCCAUUCAGGCAACUUAAAGGAGUACAUCCGUUUGUUUCAGAGCCACUGUUGCACUGAUCAUUUGUCCAUCCAGGCUGCUUUAACAUUUCAUUUCACAUUGUAUGAGAUUGUAGUCAGAAAUAAACCCAGCAAGAACUAACAGUAGUGCUUUUCUACAAUGUAACACAGUAACCAGGGGCGUCCAGCAAAAACUAUCACUCCCAGAGGCUUUGUUUAACAGUAUAAUAGAAAAUUAGCUAUGAAUAAUAGAUCCGACAUUUGUGUAUGACUUAAGAGUUAUUUGUUAAUCCCUUGAAAGGAAAGAAAAAGCUGGGUCAGCUUUUUAUGUUGACAGCAAAAGAAACUCAAAUAUUUACAGCGAGUUUUUGUGGUCUCUCUUGAUAAUACAAAAACAAAGCAUACAGUCCUCGUUAUCAUCUUACAUUCUGAGAAGCACCAUUUCCUAGUGAUAUAAACUUAGAUUUGCCAUGGUCUUUAGUCAUUUUUACUUUGAAUAAUGCAUAUCUUUGUAGUUUUGUUUUGGGUUCUAGAAACUACAGCGCUCCUUUACACUACCAUGAUCUCUUCUGAUUUGGGUUCUUUUUAUACAAGAGAAAAUGGAAAGCCUCUAUCCCAUCGUAAUGUCCUCAUCUUGGCAGCACAGCUGUAAGCAUCCUUAGGUCUGACUACACACUUCAAGUCAGCAGCAGCUACAAAGCGCUCCUUGGGAACAGGUGAACACUUCCUCCACCUAAAUCUACAGUGUGUAAUUUAAGAGUUCUUCAGAGGAUGAUCAUCUGGACUCAGUCAGUAGAAAUGGAGUAGAUUCUAAUACUAGUAUGGAUACUUUCAUAAAAAUAAAAUGAAUG